CUGAUAACUAAAGGAGCAAUUCGCGUUUGGGAGGGACCUGCGUCCCAUCAGCUAGUUGGUGAGGUAAUGGCUCACCAAGGCUACGACGGGUAGGGGACCUGAGAGGUGACCCCCACAAUGGAACUGAAACACGGUCCAUACACCUACGGGGUGGCAGCAGUAGGGAAUAUUGCACAAUGGGCGAAAGCCUGAUGCAGCAACGCCGCGUGUGCGAUGAAGGCCCUCGGGGUCGUAAAGCACUUUUCUGAGAGAUGAGCAAGGACAGUAUCUCAGGAAUAAGUCUCGGCUAACUACGUGCCAGCAGCCGCGGUAAAACGUAGGAGGCAAGCGUUAUCCGGAUUCACUGGGCGUAAAGCGCGUGCAGGCGGUUCGGUAAGUUGGGUAUGAAAUCUCCUGGCUUAACUAGGAGAGGUUAUCCAAUACUACCGGACUUGAGAGUGGUAGAGGAAGAUGGAAUUCCCGGUGUAGUGGUGAAAUGCGUAGAUAUCGGGAGGAACACCAGUGGCGAA
rnacentral:rRNA from 1 species